rnacentral:rRNA from 1 species
UACAGAGGGGGCAAGCGUUAUUCGGAAUUAUUGGGCGUAAAGGGCGCGUAGGCGGCCUGACAAGUGGAAGGUGAAAUCCCUCGGCUUAACCGAGGAACUGCACUCGAAACUGUUUGGCUUGAGUCCGGGAGAGGUGAGUGGAAUUCCCAGUGUAGCGGUGAAAUGCGUAGAGAUCGGGAAGAACAUCGGUGGCGAAGGCGGCCUGCUGGGCUGUUGCUGACGCUGAGGCGCGACAGCGUGGGGAGCAAACAGG